rnacentral:rRNA from 1 species
AUUGAACGCUGGCGGCAGGCCUAACACAUGCAAGUCGAGCGGAUGAAGGGAGCUUGCUCCUGGAUUCAGCGGCGGACGGGUGAGUAAUGCCUAGGAAUCUGCCUGGUAGUGGGGGAUAGCGUCCGGAAACGGGCGCUAAUACCGCAUACGUCCUGAGGGAGAAAGUGGGGGAUCUUCGGACCUCACGCUAUCAGAUGAGCCUAGGUCGGAUUAGCUAGUUGGUGGGGUAAAGGCCUACCAAGGCGACGAUCCGUAACUGGUCUGAGAGGAUGAUCAGUCACACUGGAACUGAGACACGGUCCAGACUCCUACGGGAGGCAGCAGUGGGGAAUAUUGGACAAUGGGCGAAAGCCUGAUCCAGCCAUGCCGCGUGUGUGAAGAAGGUCUUCGGAUUGUAAAGCACUUUAAGUUGGGAGGAAGGGCAGUAGGUUAAUACCUUGCUGUUUUGACGUUACCAACAGAAUAAGCACCGGCUAACUUCGUG